rnacentral:lncRNA from 1 species
AUAAGUCUUAGAUAAACCCUAUAUUUUUUUUCAUUUUUCUUCCCAUUUUAUCCUCCUCUCCUUACAUCCCGGAAUAUCUACAUCAGUUUCUUCUUCACCUGAAGAGUUCUCUUUCAAUCUACCUUUAUGAUUGAAUCUCUACAGCCACAACAUCAAUUGUUACUGGAAGAAUUUAAUUCCCUUGUUUGUAUUUCAAGAUAUGGUGAACAAUAGGGCUAAAUCCCCCAUCCUACAUGCUUUAUUUCUCCAGUAAUCUAGCUGUUCGAUUCAUGUAGAACUUGGACUACGAGAGAAAGAUGUUAAGAUCAGGAUGUUGAAGUUGAGCCCUAAUUUAUUUCAUAAUUUUUCGAACAACCUACACCAGUGUCGUGAUUCCAGCAACCGGCCCUGUCUUCGCGUUGCGGAACCAGUUAGACGGCUUAUGGAUGCAGGUAUAUCAAUCUACCACCAGAAGUUUUCGAAGACGGCUUUUGUGUGGUGUUGAAAUAGGAGAAAAUUACUUAUACACAGCCUACAGGUCAUCCUCAUUUUGAAGAAUCUCCGCUGCAAUAGGUUACGAGGUUUUAUAUAGCGCAAGGCGCACCAGUUACAUAGGGUCUAAAUUCUAGAACCAUGGCGUAAGGCUCAGAAGCAAACCGCUUUGUGUACGAGAAGGAAUAAAUUGGUUACAAUUUUGACAUCUACCUGACUUGGUUUUAGAGUUGGCUAAAGUUAGUGCCAGUAGUUGGCUAAUACGUAAAGCGACCGAAAGAUGAACAGAUUUUGAAGGCUUUACUUGCUGCUCAUGCUUUGCUUCAACGGUUAACUCAAUCGUUCAUCUAUACGUUUCAACCAAUUUAUUUUCCAAUACAUCUCUCUUGGCAAUUAAGGUAAUCGUUCAAACUAGCUGAGUUGGUUGACCUGCAAGCGCUUUAUUUUCUCAAUACUUAUUUCACUUGGCGUUUUAACAGUGUAAAUUUAUAUUAUUGAGUAAAAUAUGUAAUAGGUUGCAUGCUUAAAAAGUAGAGUUUAGGCAACUAACUCAUUUCACCCGCUUCUCUUUUAACUAUUUUCUAUUUUUACCCGUUUGAGAAAAAACACAUCACAGAUUGCAGUAGUUAACACCUUUGGGGUAAUACAUUCAUAACGCAAUGGGUUGAGAUGGCCACCUGUUUUUGACGAGUUAACUAAUCUACUUACUUGGUCAUUUCUACACUUAACCAAUGGUGGUUACAUGUUUAUGAACUGAGGGGUUUGUCUUAACUUCUGUUGUCCAAGAGCUUUUGGGUGAUAAGAAAUGGUAAGAUGUAAUACGAGUUUUUUUAUAAGAGUGUCUCUUACAUGUAACUACUUUUACAAUUUUUUUGUUAUUUUUUGGUAUUACUUUCUUCUUAUUUUUUCCAAUUUUAAAGACAAAUAUGAAUCAGCAAUUUUUCGUGGAAAUGACAAAAAAUGCAUCAGAUAGAGAU